rnacentral:lncRNA from 1 species
AAAUAGAAAGAAGAAAAAAGAAAAGUUGUGAAAAAUAUGAAAAAGUUGAAAAAGAUGUGGAGAUGAGCUCUUAAGUGUUGAUUGUUGAAGUAAGGGUCCAAAAUAUUGAAUUCGACCCUAAGUGUUGCAUGCACAUCCCCUUUGUGUUUAAAAGAUGAUUUUUGCAUUCAAAAGUGAAUUCUAAGUGUCAAUUUCAUUACUUUGCUUACUAUUGUUUUAAGAACGUUUGUUUAUCCUUUACCUUUCUUUGUUAGCCAAUACCCCGAGCCCCGUUACAACCCUUAGCUUCUAUCUUGAGUGUUGUGUAUUUCAAUUUGUGGAGUUUGGGAUUGGUAUGAGCAUAUGGUGUCACUUGUUCUCGCAUCUAAGUAGCAGCAUUCCAUUCAUGAGAUCAUAUACAUGCUUAUUUAUUCCAGAGAAAGCUUUCUUGUUAUAUCGUAUGUGAGUGCUAGUUUUCAUAUUUACAUCAAUCCUCUCACAUAUAACUAGUAUAGGGUGUGUAGUCAGAAAAUAUGUGUGAAAAUUGAGUGCAUAUCCAGUAAGGAAUUGAGCAAAUUCUCUAAGGCAUGUUACUACACUCAAAAUCAUGUUUUAAUUGGUUGAAUAUGAACUAGUACGUAGUGACUAUGAUUAAGUAUGUGCUUAAGUGUGAAGAUGACUAAAAUCUGUGGGAAUGAUAAUUUUUAAUUUGUCAUGUGCAUUGGGAAUCCCUAAGGCAAAUGUUGGAGGGUUUAGGUUGUGUUAUGUUUGUUUUGUUUCGUUUUGUUUUUCUUUUGUUUCUUUGUUUUGCUCGAGGACUAGCAAAAGCUAAGUGUGGGGGAAUUUGAUAGGAGCAUAUUUAUGCGCCUUAGUUAGCUAGUUCUUAUGCAUUUUUGUUAUGUUUUCUAAGUUAAAAUAUAGACGUUUAAGCUACUUUCAUGUGUUUUCAAGUUUAAAGGGCAUAUUACCUAAAAUGAUGCAAUUUGGAGCUUUUGGAGCAAAAGUGAGCGUGGAUUGGAAAGUACAUGCUUGGAACACAAGGUUUGGACAAAAUUGAAGAUUUGAAGAUUUGAGGAUUCCUAGUCCGAGGAGGAGUCCUAAUUGAAGAAGGAUUCCUAGUCCGAGGAGGAGUCCUAAUUCAAGAAGGAUUCCUAAUCAACGAGGGAUUACUAGUUGAAGAUGGAUUCCUAGAAGAACGAAGAUUCCUACUCAAACGAGGUUUCCUACUUGAAGUAGGAAAGCUAAGCCUAAAAGUUUCCACUUUGGGUUGAUCUUUCCUAAACCUACAUGGCCUUGAGUUUUAGCAACAUUAGAAGGUUCCUAAGCGUUGGAAGACACAAAGAAGGGUUCUAGAACAUUUUUUUCAUCCUUGUCGUGGGUUGGACCUUAUUUUCUCUUGGUUUUGGGCUUUCUAGAAGCCCUAUCUACAUCCCCUAAACCUACCGCACCUAUCCCCUUUCUAGAACUUGUUUUCCUUGCCUUGCAAGGCAUUCUAGAAGCCCUAUCCAUAUCAUCUAAACCUGCUGCACCUUUGUGGACCUUUUCCCUUGUGGAUUCUGAUUUCAAAGCCUAUUUCCUUGUGGAUUUGGGUUAUUCAAGUCCAUAUCUGAUUUACCUAGGGUUUG